rnacentral:rRNA from 1 species
CGAUUGAGUUUGAUCCUGGCUCAGGACGAACGCUGGCGGCGUGCCUAAUACAUGCAAGUCGAGCGGAUUUAUCCUUCGGGAUAAGUUAGCGGCGGACGGGUGAGUAACACGUAGGCAACCUGCCUAUAAGACUGGGAUAACUAUCGGAAACGAUAGCUAAGACCGGAUAACUGAUUUUCUCGCAUGAGAAAAUUAUGAAACACGGAGCAAUCUGUGGCUUAUAGAUGGGCCUGCGGCGCAUUAGCUAGUUGGUAGGGUAACGGCCUACCAAGGCGACGAUGCGUAGCCGACCUGAGAGGGUGAACGGCCACACUGGGACUGAGACACGGCCCAGACUCCUACGGGAGGCAGCAGUAGGGAAUCUUCCGCAAUGGACGCAAGUCUGACGGAGCAACGCCGCGUGAGUGAUGAAGGUUUUCGGAUCGUAAAGCUCUGUUGCCCUAGACGAACAGCAUGAGGAGUAACUGCCUUUUGUGUGACGGUAUAGGAGAAGAAAGCCCCGGCUAACUACGUGCCAGCAGCCGCGGUAAUACGUAGGGGGCAAGCGUUGUCCGGAAUUAUUGGGCGUAAAGCGCGCGCAGGCGGUCAAUUAAGUUGGGUGUUUAAGCCCGGGGCUCAACCCCGGUUCGCAUCCAAAGCUGGUCGACUUGAGUGUAGGAGAGGAAAGUGGAAUUCCACGUGUAGCGGUGAAAUGGCGUAAAAAUGUGGAGGAACCACAAUGGCGAAAGCGACUUUCUGGCCUAUAACUGACGCUGAGGCGCGAAAACGUGGGGAGGCAAACAGGAAUUAGAUACCCU